rnacentral:rRNA from 1 species
AGCAGCCGCGGUAAUUCCAGCUCCAAUAGCGUAUAUUAAAGUUGUUGCAGUUAAAAAGCUCGUAGUUGAAUUUCGGGAUUAGUACGUUGGUCGUGCCUUCGGUACGUACUGGUGCUACUGAUUCCUACCUUCUGACGAACCAUCAUGUCAUUAAUUUGGUGUGGCGGGGAAUCAGGACUGUUACUUUGAAAAAAUUAGAGUGUUUAAAGCAGGCUCGCGCUUGAAUACAUUAGCAUGAAAUAAUGAAAUAGGACGUUGACCCUAUUUUGUUGGUUUCUAGGAUUGACGUAAUGAUUAAUAGGGAUAGUUGGGGGCAUUAGNAUUCAAUUGUCANAGGUGAAAUUCUUGGAUUUAUUGAACACUACCUACUGCGAAAGCAUUUGCCUAGGAUGUUUUCAUUAAUCNAGAACGAAAGUUAGGGGAUCGAAGACGAUUCGAUACCGUCGUAGUCUUAACCCUUAACUAUG